rnacentral:rRNA from 1 species
AUUCGAAGCAACGCGCAGAACCUUACCAGCCCUUGACAUCCCGGUCGCGGUUUCCAGAGAUGGAUUCCUUCAGUUCGGCUGGACCGGUGACAGGUGCUGCAUGGCUGUCGUCAGCUCGUGUCGUGAGAUGUUGGGUUAAGUCCCGCAACGAGCGCAACCCUCGCCCUUAGUUGNCAGCAUUCAGUUGGGCACUCUAAGGGGACUGCCGGUGAUAAGCCGAGAGGAAGGUGGGGAUGACGUCAAGUCCUCAUGGNCCUUACGGGCUGGGCUACACACGUGCUACAAUGGUGGUGACAGUGG